CCUACGGGUGGCAGCAGUGAGGAAUAUUGGUCAAUGGGCGUAAGCCUGAACCAGCCAAGUCGCGUGAGGGAUGAAGGAUCUAUGGGUCGUAAACUGCUUUUAUAAGGGAAUAACGUGCGGGACGUGUCCUGUUUUGUAUGUACCGUAUGAAUAAGGAUCGGCUAACUCCGUGCCAGCAGCCGCGGUAAUACGGAGGGUCCGAGCGUUAUCCGGAUUUAUUGGGUUUAAAGGGUGCGUAGGCGGCAUUUCAAGCGAGCGGUGAAAUGUCGGGGCUCAACCCGGGCAUUGCAGUGGGAACUGGCGUGCUUGAGUACGUGGAAGGCAGGCGGAAUUCGUCGUGUAGCGGUGAAAGGCUUAGAUAUGACGAAGAACCCCGAUUGCGAAGGCAGCUUGCUGCAGCGUAACUGACGCUGAUGCUCGAAAGCGCGGGGAUCGAACAGGAUUAGAUACCCGGGUAGUC
rnacentral:rRNA from 1 species